rnacentral:lncRNA from 1 species
UGGGAGGUUUUAUUUUUUAAACUGGCUACUUUCUGUUUGAAAGAGUUGGAAAUCUUCUUGUCAAAGUCAAUUUCCUUAUUCCAUUUGAGUACGAAUCGGGCUGUUCGUCGUUAGAAAUGCCGAAAACACCAACUCCCUCAGCGCAAAGCUUCGGUAUUGGAUUGCCACAUAUAAUGAAGAGUGCGAAAUUUUUACAAUGGACGGCAAAGUAGUGUUCUGCCAGUCAUGUGGAAAGCAAUUAGCUGUUAAGAAGAAGUUGCAACUUAAACAGCAUGUCAUCACAGGUACGUGCAACAUUAUUAUUAUUAGUUUAAUUCAUUCAUUCCCUGACUUAGUUUCUUUUGCAAAAAUAUACUAUAAAUGGGUAGUGUUCAAUCGAAUUCUUGGUUUCAGUUUCAGCCAAUGCCGACCCAAAAUACGACUUUCGGUUUUGGCGAAAUGAGAACCAAAACUGAAAAGUACAUGAGUGCCUAUUCUUCUUGCCUUCGGCGAACAUUUUUUAUUCUGAAGCUUUUCUUUCACGUGUACAUAAAGCUGCUAGCAGUCUAACAAAAAAC